AUUCUUUUUUCUUGGCUCAGGACGAACGCUGGCGGCGUGCGUCAUACAUGCAAGUCGAGCGGACUUGAUCGAGUGCUUGCACUCCUGAUGGUUAGCGGCGGACGGGUGAGUAACACGUAGGUAACCUGCCCAUAAGACUGGGAUAACCCACGGAAACGUGAGCUAAUACCAGAUAGGCAUUUUCCUCGCAUGAGGGAAAUCAGAAAGCCGGAGCACUCUGUCAGUUAUGGAUGGACCUGCGGCGCAUUAGUUAGUUGGUAAGGUAACGGUUUACCAAGGCGACGAUGCGUAGCCGUCCUGAGAGGGUGAUCGGCCACACUGGGAUUGAGACACGGCCCAGAUUCUUACGGGAGGCACCAGUAGGGAAUCUUCCGCAAUGGACGAAAGUCUGACGGAGCAACGCCGCGUGAGUGAUGAAGGUUUUCGGAUCGUAAAGCUCUGUUGCCAGGGAAGAACGCCUAGGAGAGUAACUGCUCAUAGGGUGACGGUACCUGAGAAGAAAGCCCCGGCUAAUUACGUGCCAGCAGCCGCGGUAAUACGUAGGGGGCGAGCGUUGUCCGGAAUUAUUGGGCGUAAAGCGCGCGCAGGCGGCAAUGUAAGUUGGGUGUUUAAACCUAGGGUUCAACCUUGGGUCGCAUCCAAAACUGCAUAGCUUGAGUACAGAAGAGGAAAGUGGAAUUCCACGUGUAGCGGUGAAAUGCGUAGAGAUGUGGAGGAACACCAGUGGGGAAGGCGACUUUCUGGGCUGUAACUGACGCUGAGCGCGAAAGAUUAUU
rnacentral:rRNA from 1 species